UUAUUCUAUUUUUCACUUUCUUUCUAGAGCUAUUAUAGGUAAUGUAAUUCAGUGAUCACUCUUUCUCUUUUUUUUAAUACUCGCAGACCAUUUACAGAGGCAAGAAGAAAAUUACUAAGAAUAUUAACGAGUAUUUGGCCAUCAAGAAAGUGGAUAAGUGUCAGGAACCUGAGGUCGUAGAAGAGAAAUUGGAGGAAUAAUCUAUCCAUUGCCUAUGUCAGUCCCUGAAACUGCCCGAU
rnacentral:sRNA from 1 species